rnacentral:rRNA from 1 species
UCGGGUGUCAACCCCUACGCGUAAUGAAAGUGAACGCAGGUGAGAGCUUCGGCGCAUCAUCGACCGAUCCUGAUGUUCUCGGAUGGAUUUGAGUAAGAGCAUACGGGGCCGGACCCGAAAGAAGGUGAACUAUGCCUGUAUAGGGUGAAGCCAGAGGAAACUCUGGUGGAGGCUCGCAGCGGUUCUGACGUGCAAAUCGAUCGUCAAAUAUGGGCAUGGGGGCGAAAGACUAAUCGAACCUUCUAGUAGCUGGUUUCCGCCGAAGUUUCCCUCAGGAUAGCAGUGUUGAACUCAGUUUUAUGAGGUAAAGCGAAUGAUUAGGGACCAGGGGGCGCUAUAUAGCCUUCAUCCAUUCUCAAACUUUAAAUAUGUAAGAAGCCCUUGUUGCUUAAUUGAACGUGGGCAUUCGAAUGUAUCAACACUAGUGGGCCAUUUUUGGUAAGCAGAACUGGCGAUGCGGGAUGAACCGAACGCGAGGUUAAGGUGCCAGAGUAGACGCUCAUCAGACACCACAAAAGGCGUUAGUACAUCUUGACAGCAGGACGGUGGCCAUGGGAAGUCGGAAUCCGCUAAGGACUGUGUAACAACUCACCUGCCGAAUGUACUAGCCCUGAAAAUGGAUGGCGCUCAAGCGUCUCACCCAUACCUCGCCCUCAGGGUAGAAACGAAGCCCUGAGGAGUAGGCGGACGUGGAGGUCGUGACGAAGCCUAGGGCGUGAGCCC